GUGGGGAAUCUUGCGCAAUGGGCGAAAGCCUGACGCAGCCAUGCCGCGUGAAUGAUGAAGGUCUUAGGAUUGUAAAAUUCUUUCACCGGGGACGAUAAUGACGGUACCCGGAGAAGAAGCUCCGGCUAACUUCGUGCCAGCAGCCGCGGUAAUACGAAGGGGGCUAGCGUUGCUCGGAAUUACUGGGCGUAAAGGGCGCGUAGGCGGACAGCUUAGUCAGAGGUGAAAGCCCAGGGCUCAACCUUGGAAUUGCCUUUGAUACUGGCUGUCUUGAGUUUGGGAGAGGUGAGUGGAACUCCGAGUGUAGAGGUGAAAUUCGUAGAUAUUCGGAAGAACACCAGUGGCGAAGGCGACUCACUGGCCCAAUACUGACGCUGAGGCGCGAAAGCGUGGGGAGCAAACAGGAUUAGAUACCCCAGUAGUCC
rnacentral:rRNA from 1 species